AUGAUGCGGGCUGGACUCCCCCCAGCAGUGCGUUGCUUUGCGGCGUGCGCUGUUGGGGCCAGCCUUGCUGAAUUAUUCACCCGUGUCUUUUGCGUACUUCUUGUUUCCUUGGUGGGUUCGCCCACCACAAGGACAAACCAUAAACCUUUUGUAAUUGCAAUCAGCGUCAGUAACAAUAAUAAUAAUUACAACUUUCAACAACGGAUCUCUUGGUUCUGGCAUCGAUGAAGAACGCAGCGAAAUGCGAUAAGUAGUGUGAAUUGCAGAAUUCAGUGAAUCAUCGAAUCUUUGAACGCACAUUGCGCCCUUUGGUAUUCCAAAGGGCAUGCCUGUUCGAGCGUCAUUUGUACCCUCAAGCUUUGCUUGGUGUUGGGCGUCUUGUCUCCAGUUCGCUGGGGACUCGCCUUAAAGUUAUUGGCAGCCGGCCUACUGGUUUCGGAGCGCAGCACAAGUCGCGCUCUCUUCCAGCCAAGGUCAGCAUCCACAAAGCCUUUUUUCAACUUUUGACCUCGGAUCAGGUAGGGAUACCCGCUGAACUUAAGCAUAUCAAUAACG
rnacentral:rRNA from 1 species